UCAGGAUGCAAUGUUGAAUGAACAAAUAUACCUAGGAAAAGUUCAUAUCACUUCUAAACAUGGGUUUAAUUAUUUUUCUUCAUCUGAUGUUCAAGAGAAAUGGGAAAGUAAGUUGUGUUGAAUUGCGUUCUUCAGUUUUCGUUGACACAGUUGACAUUCCGUACUUUCUGUCAAUGCGCAUGCGCAAAUCUUCUCCCUCUCUUGCCGAAUCGAAGGAUGGAAAUGGCUGCUGAAUUUCAGUGCUGCUACAAAUUUUGGCUGUUGGUUAAGCGUAAAGUAACAGGGUUUCCACCGGAUCUAUUGCAUGACCUCCUGGAGGGAGUUGUACCUUACGAGUUGGCUGUUGGCUGCUUGAAGAAACUCAUUAGAAAGAGAGUAUGCUGUUUCGCGUGUUGCUGGGUCCUGAUAAUGCCAGAAGAAUCAAUGUCACUGAAGCCUUCAACUCGGUCAGCGACUUGAAAAAGAUUCUGCAAGACUUUAAGAUUCAAUUUGUGGAUCCAGACUUUGGCAAUCAGCUGUGUAAUUUGACUGACAUAUCCGAACUUCCACCAGAUAGAGCUAUAUUGAAAAUAAUCACCAAAGUAUCUGAAGAGUCAGAUAAUGUUUCCAUGUCAUCCCUUGACACUGCCAGUAUAGCUUCCUCUUCCAGUUCAGCAGCUUCUGCGUCAUCUAGCUUAAAUGUUAGUGCCAUUACCUCUUAGACAAAAUAGAGCAGCGGCCUUCUCCUUUCCCAAUACCUACAUUUUCAUACGAUGUGGAAUUGAGGCUUGCCAAAGGGAAUGAGAUGUUCAGAGAACAUGGAGCACUGCUUGAUGUUCCCAAAGAUAUGAAAAUGGACAUUUUGAAUGCUCUAUGUCGUUCCAUGUUUUCUUAUAAAACUUACCCAUCAAAGAAAGAGUUAUAAGUCGUGGAUGCUGGGUUAGUCAACAAGCAUCCCUGUCUGAAGGAUCCAUCCAUGGGAACAUGCUACAUACUUGGACCACAAGUUUGUACUUCAAAGUAGGAAAUUACUGCCAUAAACUAGGAGCAGCAGGUUGCAGUGAAGUCCAUGUUAACCAGAAAAGAACUGGAGAAGAUUCCAGGAAUCGCUUGAAGAAGGCAAGAAGAUGUGAAGUGAACUUCAUUCCUGACAUUCCAACUGGGCAAACUGAUGUAAUCCAGUGGCUGACAUUAUGAGACAGUGGCCGGCAUUGUUUUUGGAAGAGCAAGUAAGUGCAUAGAAAUGAUUUAAACUCUUUCUGAAGCAUGUUAUUUUUGUAUGACUUAAUGCACCUAAAUUAUAUGAUCCAAUAGGUUCACAAAGAGUUUUUCAGAAUCACUGGAGUCAAUCUCAAGGAGACGUUCUUCUCUUCACUCGAUGAAUAUACACCAAAGAUCAUCCAACUGUACAGGUCACGUAGUGGAGCUUUUGGAGAGGACUUGAAGACUCUACUGAACAAAAUGGAUGCCCAGAUGACCAAUGUCAUGUUGCAUAGGAAAACAGCAGCUUUGCAAGGCCUACCAUUGUUUGAGGGAGAGCACAGAUUCCUUCUUCAAAUCUUGCUUGGAUACGGAUGUGGAUGGGGUCAACACUCGUGGAGUUCAGAUUGGGAUUUUAACGGUUGCUGAGGACGACACUGCUACCACUGACACAGAUGCCAAUGUAAGGUGUUUUGCUUUGAUUAUUGAGGAGCAGAUUGUUCUUGAUGACCUCCCUGACCUUCCCACUGCUAUGGAUCUCCUUUUUGGAUUGAUUUAUUCUUUGAACAUGAAGUAUCCAAAGGAACUGAAAUACAUGUUCGAAACUAUUCAAAAAGUUUUCAUGCGCCUUGAUACCAAUCUUUCUGCAAAGGUGCAAUCUUUCAGAAACAAAAUGCUGAGGUGAUGGACUGUGCAAAUAAGUGACAUUUUACUCCUUUUCUGACAUUUUCUUUUUGGCUUGAGUGUAGUGGGAGUGUAUGCACACUCAGUAAGGGCACUGUUGGUUCUUUUAGGUCAUAAUGUUCAAAUGUAAAGGUUCUGCCCACUUCAUUGUAAACACACCCUGCUGACUGAACGUGGGAUCUUGCUUGUUCUCCUAGUAGUUAUUAACACCCCCCAAGACUCCCGACAGUGAACAUUUUUGACGUCCCAUGCACCACCAUGGACAUUCAAAGGCUUCUGAAUAAAGCCCAAUUACACUGAGUACGGAUGGAGCAGGAGUCAGGCUCCUUCACACACAUAAACAGACCAAAGGGGACUGUGACUGCCAUACCUUGGCAUUGUAUGCCAUCACCACAGCACAUGGUGUGUUCAGAGAAAGUGUUUGAAAUGUACUUGACUAAUUUAGGCAGUGUACCUGGCACUUUGCCAAUGCAAACAUUUUUAUACUGCAAAGGGUGGUAAUGUAUAGUCCUUCUUGAUCAGACUAUUCAAAAGGUGAUCCUCAGGAAGAAAAUAAUGAAUAUUGCUGUUUACAUUAACAUAGUAAUGUGCAGCACUUAAACAGUUAUGUUAGAGGUAACUUUAUUUAGGUAUCUUUUUACUUUUUUUUUAGGGUCCUUUGUAAUGCUUGUGUGUGCACAGUCAAAAUGGAAGCUUUUUGUUAAAGUCAGUUUUCAAUUGUAAAGGUUCUGUAAGGAAGUCAAGCUUGAUAGGUAGUUAACCAGGUAAACUUGCUCAGCAUUUUCAUUAUUAUGGUAUGCAUUCUUAUUUGAGCCUGCCCGACUCUCUCUUUAUUUUAUAUUUUCAACUGCUUCAGUAUAAUGAAGCAUAUGUACAAUCUUGAAGUACUUUAUUUUUCACCACAAUGUUAAGUCCCAUAAGACGAUAUAUGGCAUGUUUGAUAUAUUGGUAGCAGGGCAUACAUUGUUACCUAGCCUCGCACUGCCUUUCUAAGAUACACAUUUGUGUGUGUUGGAAAAGUGGUCAGUUUAUUGGAUGUCUUUGGCUGGUUCUUAGAACUUAAGAUUCUUUUAAUUACUGUUGGCACAAAAGACAGUGUUUUAAAAGAAGUUUCAA